UACGUAGGGGGCAAGCGCUGUCCGGAAUUAUUGGGCGUAAAGCGCGCGUAGGCGGCCCGGUAAGGCCGCUGUAAAAGUCCAGGGCUCAACCCUGGAAAGCCGGUGGAUACUGUCGGGCUAGAGUCCGGAAGAGGCGAGUGGAAUUCCUGGUGUAGCGGUGGAAUGCGCAGAUAUCAGGAGGAACACCGAUGGCGAAGGCAGGUCUCUGGGCCAUUACUGACACUGAGAAGCGAAAGCAUGGGGAGCGAACAGG
rnacentral:rRNA from 1 species